rnacentral:rRNA from 1 species
GUGCCAGCAGCCGCGGUAAUACGUAGGUGGCAAGCGUUGUCCGGAAUUAUUGGGCGUAAAGCGCGCGCAGGCGGUCUCUUAAGUCUGAUGUGAAAUCCCGUGGCUUAACCACGGGCGGUCAUUGGAAACUGGGGGACUUGAGUGCAGAAGAGAAGAGCGGAAUUCCACGUGUAGCGGUGAAAUGCGUAGAGAUGUGGAGGAACACCAGUGGCGAAGGCGGCUCUUUGGUCUGUAACUGACGCUGAGGCGCGAAAGCGUGGGGAGCGAACAGGAUUAGAAACCCCAGUAGUCC